GGACGGGUGAGUAACGCGUGAGAACAUGCCUUUAGAUUGGGGACAACAGUUGGAAACGACUGCUAAUACCGAAUGUGCCUUAGGGUGAAAGAUUUAUUGUCUAGAGAUUGGCUCGCGUCAGAUUAGCUAGUUGGAGUGGUAACGGCACACCAAGGCGACGAUCUGUACUUGGUCUGAGAGGAUGACCAGGCACACUGGAACUGAGACACGGUCCAGUCUCCUACGGGAGGCAGCAGUGGGGAAUUUUCCGCAAUGGGCGAAAGCCUGACGGAGCAAUACCGCGUGAGGGAGGACGGCUUUUGGGUUGUAAACCUCUUUUAUCAGGGAUGAAUCGAUGACGGUACCUGAUGAAUCAGCAUCGGCUAACUCCGUGCCAGCAGCCGCGGUAAUACGGAGGAUGCAAGCGUUAUCCGGAAUUAUUGGGCGUAAAGC
rnacentral:rRNA from 1 species